AUUGAACGCUGGCGGAAUGCUUUACACAUGCAAGUCGAACGGCAGCACGGACUUCGGUCUGGUGGCGAGUGGCGAACGGGUGAGUAAUACAUCGGAACGUGCCCAAUCGUGGGGGAUAACGUAGCGAAAGCUACGCUAAUACCGCAUACGAUCUAAGGAUGAAAGCGGGGGAUCGCAAGACCUCGCGCGAUUGGAGCGGCCGAUGGCAGAUUAGGUAGUUGGUGGGGUAAAGGCUCACCAAGCCGACGAUCUGUAGCUGGUCUGAGAGGACGACCAGCCACACUGGGACUGAGACACGGCCCAGACUCCUACGGGAGGCAGCAGUGGGGAAUUUUGGACAAUGGGCGAAAGCCUGAUCCAGCCAUUCCGCGUGCAGGAUGAAGGCCCUCGGGUUGUAAACUGCUUUUGUACGGAACGAAAAGGCUCUGGUUAAUACCUGGGGCUCAUGACGGUACCGUAAGAAUAAGCACCGGCUAACUACGUGCCAGCCGCCGCAGUAACAC
rnacentral:rRNA from 1 species